UACAGAGGUCUCAAGCGUUGUUCGGAUUCAUUGGGCGUAAAGGGUGCGUAGGUGGCGUCGUAAGUCGGGUGUGAAAUUUCGGGGCUCAACUCCGAAACUGCAUUCGAUACUGCGGUGCUUGAGGACUGGAGAGGAGACUGGAAUUUACGGUGUAGCAGUGAAAUGCGUAGAGAUCGUAAGGAAGACCAGUGGCGAGGGCGGGUCUCUGGACAGUUCCUGACACUGAGGCACGAAGGCCAGGGGAGCAAACGGG
rnacentral:rRNA from 1 species